rnacentral:rRNA from 1 species
UGCUCUUUGAAACGUUAGCGGCGGACGGGUGAGUAACACGUGGGCAACCUGCCCUACAGAUGGGGAUAACUCCGGGAAACCGGGGCUAAUACCGAAUAAUCAGUUGGUCCGCAUGGACCAACUCUGAAAGACGGUUUCGGCUGUCACUGUAGGAUGGGCCCGCGGCGCAAUAGCUAGUUGGUGGGGUAAUGGCCUACCAAGGCGACGAUGCGUAGCCGACCUGAGAGGGUGAUCGGCCACACUGGGACUGAAACACGGCCCAGACUCCUACGGGAGGCAGCAGUAGGGAAUCUUCCACAAUGGACGAAAGUCUGAUGGAACAAUGCCGCGUGAGCGAAAAAGGUUUUCGGAUCGUAAAGCUCUGUUGUAAGGGAAGAACACGUACGGGAGUAACUGCCCGUACCUUGACGUACCUUAUUAAAAACCACGGCUAACUACGUGCCAGCAGCCGCGGUAAUACGUAAGUGGCAAGCGUUGUCCGGAAUUAUUGGGCGUAAAGCGCGCGCAGGCGGUCCUUUAAGUCUGAUGUGAAAGCCCACGGCUCAACCGUGGAGGGUCAUUGGAAACUGGGGGACUUGAGUACAGAAGAAGAAAGCGGAAUUCCACGUGUAGCGGUGAAAUGCGUAGAGAUGUGGAAGAACACCAGUGGCGAAGCGGCUUUCUGGUCUGUAAUGACGCUGAAGCGCGAAGCGUGGGGAGCAACGGAUUGAUACCCGGUAGUCCAGCCGUAACGAUGAUGCUAAUGUUAGGGGUUCCGCCCUUAUGCUGCACUAAGCAUUAGCACUCCGCUGGGGAUACGGCGCAAGGUGAACUCAAGGAAUGACGGGACCGCACAACGGGGAGCAGUGGUUAUUCAAA